CCCAAGGCUGGUGUAGACGUCCUCUGCUCCGCUCAGCUCCUCAAAGAUUGGGAUCAGGUUCAGCAACUCAGUGUCUGCCAUGUCAUCAAACCAGGACUGCACAGGCACCUGGUGGGGGGAAGAUGUGGUGUCAAUCUCCCAACUGCCGCUUCCUCCUCCCUCACCCCAGAGCCCUAGAGGGUGGCUGGGUCUUCCUGGAGGGGUGUACUUCUCUGGUGGAGCCCACAGUUCCAGUCUGCUUCCUCUCCCAAUCCCUACCGUGGAGACGUGUCAGGAGCACUCACUGCAUUCUCAGGGUGGAAGAUGUAAGAAGCAGGUGAGUUGUCCAGGAUGAGGGUCUUCCUCAGGUCCCUACCCAGGCGGCUGAGGUCCUUGACGUAGCAGCCCUGGUGGAACACGCAGGACUCACGGAAUAGGCGGGCCCGGAACACCCCACACCGAUCCAGCAGGUCUGUCACAGGGUCGGCAUACUAGGAGGAGAGAAGAUGCCUUAGUAUGGAUGCAGUCCUGGUCCUCCUGUGGCACCCUAGGGACCAAAAGGGAGCUGCUGGACCACCCCUGUGGCCACCACACCCACUCCUGGUUCUUCCCUCUCACCCCUAGGUACCUUGGCCAGGCUGGCAGUGAAGAGAACACAUUCAAAGAGUUCCCCCAUACGUCUCAGGAACUCAUCCACAUAAGGCCUCUUGAGCACAUACACCUGAGGAAGAGCAGAGCAGCCUGUUGGAAGCCUCCCUGUGAUGAAGCUUUGCAGUACGAGGUUUCCAAUGGAUCAGUGGUCCCAACCUCAACCUGGCGCAGGAAGAAGUGCAUACACCUUGUCCCAGAAGCCAUCUCUGUUUCCGGCGGCGGACCAUCAGCUGCCUCCAGAAACAAGUAAUCAAGAAUAGGCCUCACAGAUGGAAACAGCCUAUCCUGGAUUACUUGAAUCCAGCCACAGCCUCUAUGGGAGCUUUCUGUCCUUGGCUCCAACAGGACAGUCUGUCCAGGUCACGAUCAGGUAAUGAACUGCACCAGGGAGCAGUGACUUUAUCCCCUCAAUGGCCCCAUUCUAGACAGAUACUCUGCCGACUCUUGCUCUGCACCAGAUUUUGUGCUUGCUUCUGCCAGCCACCCCUAACACCUGCGUCCACCUUUACGAUCUUGCACAUUUUGGCAAGUCCUUUGGCUACCUGACCCCCCAUCGGUCUGCACUCUAUUGCUUCCAUGACUCUAGCCUACACAGGUGCUAUCAGAACCAUUUCCAGAAAGGUCCUUUUUCUUUUUUUAUUUUUUAGAGAUGGGGUCUUGCUGUGUGAGGCCAGGCUGGUUGUAACUUGUGGGCUCAAGUGUUCCUCCUGCCUCAGCCUCCCAGAGUGCUGGGAUGACAGGUGUAAGCCACGGCGCCUGACUCCCAAAGCUCCUUUACCCACAUAACUCCCGAGCUCAACGAGAGUCAGCCUGCCGUGACUCUCCCUCCUAGAGUGGGCCUGAACUGGCCACCAACUCACCAGACCCCUCAAGAGCUCUGCAGGAACCCUCUGUUCUAGGCAGCCACAACUUAGCAUCUGUUAGCCUGCCAUUCCUUUGACCUCCAACAAGCCCCUUCCUCAUCCCAGCUAUUCAUCAAGUCUGGCAUCCUUUCACCCACCUUGGGCAGGUAGUGCUCCCUUAUUUUAACCUCAUCCUUUUAAAAAUUAUUCAUACCCUUCCUUGUUAGCCAGGAGUUCACAGUGUGUAUCUGUUUGAAAAUAUGCCUUCACCUGUUCUACAAGGGUUUAGCACAUCCCUAUACCCUCAGCUAGACUGUAAAAGGGCUGCUGGACCAAGCCUGGUCCUGACCGGGGCCUGGCAGGUCUUCUGGGCAGGCAAGCUGAGUAAAUGGUCUUUCACUAGCAAUGUCACAUGAUCCUUAAGCCGGGACUGCCUGGGCUGCAGGCUGGAGCCUGGUCCGUUUAGAUUUGAGUGCUCUUUACAUUGACAGACAUACAUUGAGUACUUCCUCAGGCAGAAUCCAAUGGAGGGCCCCAGGGAAGGCAGUCAGAGAAGGCUUCACAGAGGAGGAGAUGUCUGGGCUGGGGAGGAAGAAAGUCACUAGCUAUUCACAGUGGGGGUGUGGGGGGGGAGCAUGGGCAAGAGGGCAUUCCAAGCAGAGAAAAUGGUUACUACUGGUUUCCUUGCCUGUUACAGGAAAAGAGAUACCUGGUUAAGGUAUCUUAACAGGUAUAGAUACCUUUCUUAAGGAACAGAGAAAUGUAAUAAAUCAUGUUAACAGUGCUGGCCACGUGAGAGGAUGGUGGUUAACAAAUGAUAGCUAUUAUUAUUAUUAUUAAAUAAAAUGUAAACUAUUUUUUUAAACA